rnacentral:rRNA from 1 species
GGUUAAGCGACUAAGCGUACACGGUGGAUGCCCUGGCAGUCAGAGGCGAUGAAGGACGUGCUAAUCUGCGAUAAGCGUCGGUAAGGUGAUAUGAACCGUUAUAACCGGCGAUUUCCGAAUGGGGAAACCCAGUGUGUUUCGACACACUAUCAUUAACUGAAUCCAUAGGUUAAUGAGGCGAACCGGGGGAACUGAAACAUCUAAGUACCCCGAGGAAAAGAAAUCAACCGAGAUUCCCCCAGUAGCGGCGAGCGAACGGGGAGCAGCCCAGAGCCUGAAUCAGUGUGUGUGUUAGUGGAAGCGUCUGGAAAGGCGCGCGAUACAGGGUGACAGCCCCGUACACAAAAAUGCACAUGCUGUGAGCUCGAUGAGUAGGGCGGGACACGUGGUAUCCUGUCUGAAUAUGGGGGGACCAUCCUCCAAGGCUAAAUACUCCUGACUGACCGAUAGUGAACCAGUACCGUGAGGGAAAGGCGAAAAGAACCCCGGCGAGGGGAGUGAAAAAGAACCUGAAACCGUGUACGUACAAGCAGUGGGAGCACGCUUAGGCGUGUGACUGCGUACCUUUUGUAUAAUGGGUCAGCGACUUAUAUUCUGUAGCAAGGUUAACCGAAUAGGGGAGCCGAAGGGAAACCGAGUCUUAACUGGGCGUUAAGUUGCAGGGUAUAGACCCGAAACCCGGUGAUCUAGCCAUGGGCAGGUUGAAGGUUGGGUAACACUAACUGGAGGACCGAACCGACUAAUGUUGAAAAAUUAGCGGAUGACUUGUGGCUGGGGGUGAAAGGCCAAUCAAACCGGGAGAUAGCUGGUUCUCCCCGAAAGCUAUUUAGGUAGCGCCUCGUGAAUUCAUCUCCGGGGGUAGAGCACUGUUUCGGCAAGGGGGUCAUCCCGACUUACCAACCCGAUGCAAACUGCGAAUACCGGAGAAUGUUAUCACGGGAGACACACGGCGGGUGCUAACGUCCGUCGUGAAGAGGGAAACAACCCAGACCGCCAGCUAAGGUCCCAAAGUCAUGGUUAAGUGGGAAACGAUGUGGGAAGGCCCAGACAGCCAGGAUGUUGGCUUAGAAGCAGCCAUCAUUUAAAGAAAGCGUAAUAGCUCACUGGUCGAGUCGGCCUGCGCGGAAGAUGUAACGGGGCUAAACCAUGCACCGAAGCUGCGGCAGCGACACUAUGUGUUGUUGGGUAGGGGAGCGUUCUGUAAGCCUGUGAAGGUGUACUGUGAGGUAUGCUGGAGGUAUCAGAAGUGCGAAUGCUGACAUAAGUAACGAUAAAGCGGGUGAAAAGCCCGCUCGCCGGAAGACCAAGGGUUCCUGUCCAACGUUAAUCGGGGCAGGGUGAGUCGACCCCUAAGGCGAGGCCGAAAGGCGUAGUCGAUGGGAAACAGGUUAAUAUUCCUGUACUUGGUGUUACUGCGAAGGGGGGACGGAGAAGGCUAUGUUGGCCGGGCGACGGUUGUCCCGGUUUAAGCGUGUAGGCUGGUUUUCCAGGCAAAUCCGGAAAAUCAAGGCUGAGGCGUGAUGACGAGGCACUACGGUGCUGAAGCAACAAAUGCCCUGCUUCCAGGAAAAGCCUCUAAGCAUCAGGUAACAUCAAAUCGUACCCCAAACCGACACAGGUGGUCAGGUAGAGAAUACCAAGGCGCUUGAGAGAACUCGGGUGAAGGAACUAGGCAAAAUGGUGCCGUAACUUCGGGAGAAGGCACGCUGAUAUGUAGGUGAAGUCCCUCGCGGAUGGAGCUGAAAUCAGUCGAAGAUACCAGCUGGCUGCAACUGUUUAUUAAAAACACAGCACUGUGCAAACACGAAAGUGGACGUAUACGGUGUGACGCCUGCCCGGUGCCGGAAGGUUAAUUGAUGGGGU